rnacentral:lncRNA from 1 species
GGGCCGCGCUACGCGUCUAUGCCGUGGGCGUCGCGGUGACGAUGGUGCAGUUGCUACGCCGCCUGCGCGGGGGCUUCCGGCCUCCGGGGUAUUGGCAGGGGAAGCCCGACCCGGUGGGAUCAGCGCAGCUUGGUGUGAUGGUAGCCUUGUUGCCGACCCCAACAUCGCCCUUGGGCUGACAUCGCACUGUACUGAAGUCCUGCCCACCCACUGUCUCCUCACCCUGAUGUCACGAUUAUCCCGCCCCUGCUGACCCUGUUCCUUCCUGUCCUCACCUCUCACCAAGACCCCGCCCC